CAAAAAUGUGGUCGUCGUGUCAAAUGUGGUCGCGUCUUUUUAUGGAAUAGCUUAAUACACACUCCAUGCUGUUUAAGCAGAUUUGAGCCAGCUAUCAUAACGACAAGUUAUGCAAGUUUUGAUUGUGUUGGCAAUGACCUGACACCAGCAACAAUCUCAGUUUCAUCGAUUGGAUAAACAGCAUUCUGUUUGAUAGGAGAAACUACUUACCGAUGUCGGUCGAGUUACGUAUCAUUUCUUCCCCAUUCUUUAAACUCCAGCUGUCCUCGUGUGUCCCAUACUUCCAUGUGAGUCUAUUCAAGAGGACCUAUUCUGCCUGCUGCCGUAUUCAACUUUACUGCGGAUGGAGCACUUGAGGAUGCCUGGCCGUAUUUCACACGCUAUAAAAGUAAGAAAAAUGUAUCUGUUCUCCCUCUUCAACUAUUUAGUGGCGUUGAUUAUAAAUGGUAACACAGUACGGA